rnacentral:ncRNA from 2 species
UAUUUCAAAAGCGGGUGUCGAUAGAAAUUUAUAUUUCGUUGGCUGAGAUUAUACCGUUUGAACUCGAACAAGUUAAUGCUUGCGUGAGGAUUAUUAAAUAUUGUUGA